rnacentral:tRNA from 1 species
UGGGGUGCAGCUCAGGGGUGGAGCGCUUGCCUAACAUGCUCAAAGACCUGGGUUCCAUCCCCAGCACCCCAA